rnacentral:rRNA from 1 species
CCUACGGGUGGCAGCAGUAAGGAAUAUUGGACAAUGCCCGCAAGGGUGAUCCAGCCAUGCCGCGUGCAGGAAGAAGGACCUAUGGUUUGUAAACUGCUUUUGUACGGGAGAAAACCCUUGCUCGUGAGCAAGGCUGAUAGUACCGUAAGAAUAAGCAUCGGCUAACUUCGUGCCAGCAGCCGCGGUAAGACGAAGGAUGCAAGCGUUAUCCGGAUUCAUUGGGUUUAAAGGGAGCGUAGGUGGCUUUGUAAGUCAGUGGUGAAAUCUUCUCGCUUAACGAGAAAACUGCCAUUGAUACUGCAGAGCUUGAGUACAGAUGCCGUUGGCGGAAUAUGACAUGUAGUGGUGAAAUACAUAGAGAUGUCAUAGAACACCGAUUGCGAAGGCAGCUAACGAAACUGUAACUGACACUGAGGCUCGAAAGUGCGGGGAUCAAACAGGAUUAGAUACCCCGGUAGUC